CUGAGUAGUAAUAAUUUUAUUUAUAAAAAAUUAUUGCCACCGGUGGUAUGUCGUUCCUAUGGCUUAUGUUGAGUUUUCUAUAGGAUUAGUUUUUCUGUAAUUUGCAACUAGGUCAAGUUAAUGUUGAACUCAACAUCACCUUUCUCCUCAGUUAACCGAAGUCGGAACCAUAAGACUUGAUGUUGGUGUCGCAUAAUGGACCUGAUGUCACAUAAUCGUCCUAAGUCAACC
rnacentral:lncRNA from 1 species